GCGGAAAUAGCUCAGUUGGUAGAGCACAACCUUGCCAAGGUUGGGGUCGCGGGUCCGAGUCCCGUUUUCCGCUC
rnacentral:tRNA from 3 species